UUAAGUUAUUAAGGGCGCACGGUGGAUGCCUUGGCACUAGAAGCUGAUGAAGGACGUUACUAACGACGAUAUGCUUUGGGGAGCUGUAAGUAAGCUUUGAUCCAGAGAUUUCCGAAUGGGGAAACCCAGCAUGAGUUAUGUCAUGUUAUCGAUAUGUGAAUACAUAGCAUAUCAGAAGGCACACCCGGAGAACUGAAACAUCUUAGUACCCGGAGGAAGAGAAAGAAAAUUCGAUUCCCUUAGUAGCGGCGAGCGAAACGGGAAGAGCCCAAACCAACAAGCUUGCUUGUUGGGGUUGUAGGACACUCUAUACGGAGUUACAAAGGACGACAUUAGACGAAUCAUCUGGAAAGAUGAAUCAAAGAAGGUAAUAAUCCUGUAGUCGAAAAUGUUGUCUCUCUUGAGUGGAUCCUGAGUACGACGGAGCACGUGAAAUUCCGUCGGAAUCUGGGAGGACCAUCUCCUAAGGCUAAAUACUCUCUAGUGACCGAUAGUGAACCAGUACCGUGAGGGAAAGGUGAAAAGCACCCCGGAAGGGGAGUGAAAUAGAACCUGAAACCGUGUGCUUACAAGUAGUCAGAGCCCGUUAAUGGGUGAUGGCGUGCCUUUUGUAGAAUGAACCGGCGAGUUACGAUUUGAUGCAAGGUUAAGCAGUAAAUGUGGAGCCGUAGCGAAAGCGAGUCUGAAUAGGGCGUUUAGUAUUUGGUCGUAGACCCGAAACCAGGUGAUCUACCCUUGGUCAGGUUGAAGUUCAGGUAACACUGAAUGGAGGACCGAACCGACUUACGUUGAAAAGUGAGCGGAUGAACUGAGGGUAGCGGAGAAAUUCCAAUCGAACCUGGAGAUAGCUGGUUCUCUCCGAAAUAGCUUUAGGGCUAGCCUCAAGUGAUGAUUAUUGGAGGUAGAGCACUGUUUGGACGAGGGGCCCCUCUCGGGUUACCGAAUUCAGACAAACUCCGAAUGCCAAUUAAUUUAACUUGGGAGUCAGAACAUGGGUGAUAAGGUCCGUGUUCGAAAGGGAAACAGCCCAGACCACCAGCUAAGGUCCCAAAAUAUAUGUUAAGUGGAAAAGGAUGUGGCGUUGCCCAGACAACUAGGAUGUUGGCUUAGAAGCAGCCAUCAUUUAAAGAGUGCGUAAUAGCUCACUAGUCGAGUGACACUGCGCCGAAAAUGUACCGGGGCUAAACAUAUUACCGAAGCUGUGGAUUGUCCUUUGGACAAUGGUAGGAGAGCGUUCUAAGGGCGUUGAAGCAUGAUCGUAAGGACAUGUGGAGCGCUUAGAAGUGAGAAUGCCGGUGUGAGUAGCGAAAGACGGGUGAGAAUCCCGUCCACCGAUUGACUAAGGUUUCCAGAGGAAGGCUCGUCCGCUCUGGGUUAGUCGGGUCCUAAGCUGAGGCCGACAGGCGUAGGCGAUGGAUAACAGGUUGAUAUUCCUGUACCACCUAUAAUCGUUUUAAUCGAUGGGGGGACGCAGUAGGAUAGGCGAAGCGUGCGAUUGGAUUGCACGUCUAAGCAGUAAGGCUGAGUAUUAGGCAAAUCCGGUACUCGUUAAGGCUGAGCUGUGAUGGGGAGAAGACAUUGUGUCUUCGAGUCGUUGAUUUCACACUGCCGAGAAAAGCCUCUAGAUAGAAAAUAGGUGCCCGUACCGCAAACCGACACAGGUAGUCAAGAUGAGAAUUCUAAGGUGAGCGAGCGAACUCUCGUUAAGGAACUCGGCAAAAUGACCCCGUAACUUCGGGAGAAGGGGUGCUCUUUAGGGUUAACGCCCAGAAGAGCCGCAGUGAAUAGGCCCAAGCGACUGUUUAUCAAAAACACAGGUCUCUGCUAAACCGUAAGGUGAUGUAUAGGGGCUGACGCCUGCCCGGUGCUGGAAGGUUAAGAGGAGUGGUUAGCUUCUGCGAAGCUACGAAUCGAAGCCCCAGUAAACGGCGGCCGUAACUAUAACGGUCCUAAGGUAGCGAAAUUCCUUGUCGGGUAAGUUCCGACCCGCACGAAAGGCGUAACGAUUUGGGCACUGUCUCAACGAGAGACUCGGUGAAAUCAUAGUACCUGUGAAGAUGCAGGUUACCCGCGACAGGACGGAAAGACCCCGUGGAGCUUUACUGUAGCCUGAUAUUGAAAUUCGGCACAGCUUGUACAGGAUAGGUAGGAGCCUUUGAAACGUGAGCGCUAGCUUACGUGGAGGCGCUGGUGGGAUACUACCCUAGCUGUGUUGGCUUUCUAACCCGCACCACUUAUCGUGGUGGGAGACAGUGUCAGGCGGGCAGUUUGACUGGGGCGGUCGCCUCCUAAAAGGUAACGGAGGCGCUCAAAGGUUCCCUCAGAAUGGUUGGAAAUCAUUCAUAGAGUGUAAAGGCAUAAGGGAGCUUGACUGCGAGACCUACAAGUCGAGCAGGGUCGAAAGACGGACUUAGUGAUCCGGUGGUUCCGCAUGGAAGGGCCAUCGCUCAACGGAUAAAAGCUACCCCGGGGAUAACAGGCUUAUCUCCCCCAAGAGUUCACAUCGACGGGGAGGUUUGGCACCUCGAUGUCGGCUCAUCGCAUCCUGGGGCUGUAGUCGGUCCCAAGGGUUGGGCUGUUCGCCCAUUAAAGCGGUACGCGAGCUGGGUUCAGAACGUCGUGAGACAGUUCGGUCCCUAUCCGUCGUGGGCGUAGGAAAUUUGAGAGGAGCUGUCCUUAGUACGAGAGGACCGGGAUGGACAUACCUCUGGUGUACCAGUUGUCGUGCCAACGGCAUAGCUGGGUAGCUAUGUGUGGACGGGAUAAGUGCUGAAAGCAUCUAAGCAUGAAGCCCCCCUCAAGAUGAGAUUUCCCAACUUCGGUUAUAAGAUCCCUCAAAGAUGAUGAGGUUAAUAGGUUCGAGGUGGAAGCAUGGUGACAUGUGGAGCUGACGAAUACUAAUCGAUCGAAGACUUAAUCAA
rnacentral:rRNA from 1 species